CUCAUCAGUAACCAGUGGAAUCUGAAAAGCAUCUACUGCUUGGAAAAGCACUAAGAGGCCAACAGAUCCAAACCCACCAGCAAAAUCAUGAAGCCAAGCAGCUUUCUCCUCCUCACUCUGAUGGUCUUCUUUUUGUACUCAGGUGAGUAAUAUUUCAUAUUGCAAAAUUUCUCUUUCUUGGAGAGGUGUAGGGACCAAACAGUCCAUAGAUUAUUCAUGUCUUCAGAUGAGUGUAGGAAUGCUCCACCUGUGUUGACUAAAUCCAGUUAAAAUCUCCCUGCAAACCAUUGUGUUCGCUGUCUGAAAGUUUACGGAAGGAGGGGACAUUGUUGUUAAGCAUAGGGACACUGGAGGCAGGGACACACAUCCCCCCAAAACACAUACACACUUGAGCCUUCCCACAUUCAUUUGGGCACUGAAACAUGUGUGUUCUCAAGCUUCUCCUAUAUGAAAUCAUACAUGCUAGAAAGAACCAGAAUGAAUGUCUUGCUAUGUGAGAUUUACUCUAUCAAAUAAAGAUACUCUCCAUCAGGGCUCUACACUACACAAUGUGCCCACCACUAUUCACACAAUAGGAGCCUUUUUGAAAGCUGAGGCUCAAAACACUAAUGCCCCCUGAAGCUACCAUGUACCCUCCGUUCUUCAUGGUCUCCACGUGGCUCUUGUGACAUAAAAAGUGGACCUAGCCAUGAUUCUAAACACGCAAAGCACCACAGCCGGGCUUUCAAGGGAAAUCAGCAGAACUGGGUCCCAGUUAGUUUAUGGAUUAAACCAGUAUAUACAGUUAUUUGUAUUUAGUGUAGUUAACGGACUGAACCAUUUCCCAUUGAUUUGAUUGUCUUCCUAUCCAUGCUCAGUGACAUUUAAAGGAAAUUGUAUAUUGCCAAGGCAAAUUAUAGAUGCAUUUUUAGGAUAAAAGAUACAGUGCAUCUCACUUUUCAGUUCCUAGAAAUUGUUGUUGUUUAGUCGUUUAGUCGUGUCCGACUCUUCGUGACCCCAUGGACCAGAGCACGCCAGGCACUUCUGUCUUCCACUGCCUCCCGCAGUUUGGUCAAACUCAUGCUGAUAGCUUCGAGAACACUAUCCAACCAUCUUGUCCUCUGUCGUCCCCUUCUCCUUGUGCCCUCAAUCUUUCCCAACAUCAGGGUCUUUUCCAGGGAGUCUUCUCUUCUCAUGAGGUGGCCAAAGUAUUGGAGCCUCAGCUUCGCGAUCUGUCCUUCCAGUGAGCACUCAGGGCUAAUUUCCUUAAGAAUGGAUGCGUUUGAUCUUCUUGCAGUCCAUGGGACUCUCAAGAGACUCCUCCAGCACCAUAAUUCAAAAGCAUCAAUUCUUCAGCGAUCAGCCUUCUUUAUGGUCCAGCUCUCACUUCCAUACAUCACUACUGGGAAAACCAUGGCUUUAACUAUACGGACCUUUGUUGGCAAGGUGAUGUCUCUGCUUUUUAAGAUGCUGUCUAGGUUUACCAUUGCCUUUCUCCCAAGGAGCAGGUGUCUUUUAAUUUUGUGACUGCUGUCACCAUCUGCAGUGAUCAUGGAGCCCAAGAAAGUAAAAUCUCUCACUGCCUCCAUUUCUUCCCCUUCUAUUUGCCAGGAGGUGAUGGACCCAGUGGCCAUGAUCUUCGUUUUUUUGAUGUUGAGCUUCAGACCAUAUUUUGCGCUCUCCUCCUCUUUCACCCUCAUUAAAAGGUUCUUUAAUUCCUCCUCACUUUCUGCCAUCAAGGUUGUGUCAUCUGCAUAUCUGAGGUUGUUGAUAUUUCUUCCGGUGAUCUUAAUUCCAGCUUGGGAUUCAUCCAGCCCAGCCUUUCGCAUGAUGAAUUCUGCAUAUAAGUUAAAUAAGCAGGGGGACAAUAUACAGCCUUGCCGUACUCCUUUCCCAAUUUUGAACCAAUCAGUUGUUCCGUAUCCAGUUCUAACUGUAGCUUCUUGUAGCCACUGCUGAGUUUUCCAAACUUGCUGGCAUAUUGAGUGUAGCACCUUAAUAGCAUCAUCUUUUAAAAUUUUAAAUAGUUCAGCUGGAAUACCAUCACUUCCACUGGCCUUGUUAUUUGCAGUGCUUUCUAAGGCCCAUUUGACUUCACUCUCCAGGAUGUCUGGCUCAAGGUCAGCAACCACACUACCUGGGAUGUACGAGCCAUCCUUAUCUUUCUGGUAUAAUUCCUCUGUGUAUUCUUGCCACCUCUUCUUGAUGUCUUCUGCUUCUGUUAGGUCCUUUCCAUUUUUGUCUUUUAUUAUGGUAAUCUUUGUACGAAAUGUUCCUUUCAUCACUCCAGUUUUCUUGAACAGAUCUCUGGUUCUUCCCAUUCUGUUGUUUUCCUCUAUUUCUUUGCAUUGCUCGUUUAAGAAGGCCUUCUUGUCUCUCCUUGCUAUUUUAUUGAACUCUGCAUUCAGUUUCCUGUAUCUUUCACUAUCUCCCUCGCAUUUUGCUUGCCUUCUCUCCACCGCUAUUUGUAAGGCCUCGUUGGACAGCCACUUUGCUUUCUUGCAUUUCCAUUUCAUUGGGAUGGUUUUCGUUGCUGCCUCCUGUAUAAUGUUGCGAGUUUCCAUCCAUAGUUCUUCUGGCACUCUGUCCACCAAAUCUAAAUCCUUAAACCUGUUCCUCACUUCCACUGUGUAUUCAUAAGGGAUUUGACUUAGAUUGUAUCUUACUGGCCCAGUGGUUUUUCCUACUUUCUUCAGUUUAAGCUUGAAUUUUGCUAUAAGAAGCUGAUGAUCUGAGCCACAGUCAGCUCCAGGUCUUGUUUUUGCUGACUGUAUAGAGCUUCUCCAUCUUUGGCUGCAGAGAAUAUAAUCAAUCUGAUUUCGAUGCUGCCCAUCUGGUGAUGUCCAUGUGUAGAGUCGUCUCUUGUGUUGUUGGAAAAGAGUGUUUGUGAUGACCAGCUUGUUCUCUUGGCAGAACUCUAUUAGCCUUUGCCCUGCUUCGUUUUGAACUCCAAGGCCAAACUUGCCAGUUGUUCCUUUUAUCUCUUGACUCCCUACUUUAGCAUUCCAAUCCCCUAUAAUGAGAAGAACAUCCUUCUUUGGUGUCAAUUCUAUAAGGUGUUGUAAGUCUUCAUAGAAUUGGUCAGUUUCAGUUUCUUCAGCACCAGUGGUUGGUGCAUAAACUUGGAUUAUUGUGAUGUUAAAAGGUCUACCUUGGAUUCGUAUCGAGAUCAUUCUAUCAUUUUUGAGAUUGCAUCCCAAUACCGCUUUUGCCACUCUUUUGUUGACUAUGAGGGCCACUCCAUUUCUUUUACGGGAUUCUUGCCCACAGUAGUAGAUAUGAUGGUCAUCCGAACUGAAUUCGCCCAUUCCCGUCCAUUUUAGUUCACUGAUGCCAAGGAUGUCAAUAUUUAUUCUUGCCAUCUCAUUUUUGACCACAUCCAACUUACCAAGGUUCAUGGUUCUUACAUUCCAGGUUCCUAUGCAAUAUUUUUCUUUACAGCAUUGGACUUUCCUUUCGCUUCCAGGCAUAUCCUCAACUGAGCGUCCUUUCGGCUUUGGCCCAGCCGCUUCAUCAGCUCUGAAUCUACUUGUACUUGUCCUCCGCUCUUCCUCAGUAGCAUGUUGGACGCCUUCCGACCUGAGGGGCUCAUCUUCCAGCGUCAUAACUUUUAUAUGCCCUUUGUCUUUGUCCAUGGAGUUUUCUUGGCAGGGAUACUGGAGUGGCUUGCCGGUUCCUGCUCCAGGUGGAUCACAUUUGGUCAAAACUCUCCACUAUGACCUGUCCAUCUUGGGUGGCCCUGCACGGCAUAGCUCAUAGCUUCUCUGAGUUAUUCAAGCCCCUUCGCCACAGCAAGGCAGUGAUCCAUGAAGGGGUAAAUGUUAUCAAAUAGACUAUUAUUCAACAUAUGGAAUUUCUAAAUAAUUUUCACAUUUUCUGUGUUUUGCAUCUAGAUGUUGUUGUGAAAGCAACAUGGGAAGCGGUAAGUGGGAAAUCAUUUAUUCUUAUGAUAGACCAUGGAAGUACCGUGGAGUUAAGAUAAGUGAAUUUAUUUUUCUUGUGGAUUUUAAAAUAUUCUCUCUCUCUCUCUCUCUCUCUCUCUCUCUCUCUCUCUGAACGUUUCUGUGUGUGUCAAUUUUGAAAACAGAAUUUAAAAUACCGGCAACAAAAACACAUUGGCACAAAUAUAACAUACAAGAGUUGGGUUUUUCCCAUGAUUACACAUAUCUAGUCCCAUCCCUUUUUUAAAAAAAGUUGGUGGUAUUAUUAUUAGUUCCAGUUGCUACCCACAAUUUGUAAGAAAGUCUCGGCUUGUGUUCUGUAGUAGCCUACUGGGGUUAUUCUGUUAUUACUAGAUAGACCGCCCAACCUUGCAGGCAUAUUAUUUAGCCACUGUCUUAUGAAUUCAGGCACUCACUGUGUGUUUUUUAAAAGUAUUUAUUUGCAAAAACAACAGUUAAAUGUGUCUAGCAUGAAACCCCUGGAGCUGCCCACUCACAAUUUGGCAGGAUUAAUCUUCUCUGAAGGGACUACCAUGUCUGCAAAUUUUGUUUGGCAGUGUGAAAAACUUUGUGCCUGUUCUAACCCUGCAAUAUUUUAAACUUUAAAGGUGUUUUGCAUGAAAUCCCAGGCACUGAUGAUCUAUAAUUUGACAGGUUUAAGCCCCCGCAAUGGGGCCUUACCAUGUCACCAAAUCAUAUGCCCCAAGUGGGAACUUGGGAUGAAUAGAGAACAACUUUAUCACACAAUUCGCUCCUUGCCAGGACGAUAAAUCAGCAUUUCCCUGUGCUUUAAUGCACACCUUAAUAUAACACUUGUUGAAUUGUCAUUUGCAUUCCUCAUCUUUGCCUCUUUCUUAGGCAUGUGAUAAUCAGAAAGGUCUUCCAGUCCAAAGGUUAAGUGGGGAGGACCUUUAAAACUGUUGUGUCCUUUGUCUUCAGGAAUAUUGCAAAGGAUAUCCAAAACCAGGAUGCACCUUGGAAUACCGUCCCCACUGCGGUUCUGAUGGCAAGACCUAUGGCAACAAGUGUGACUUCUGCAAUGCAUAUAUGUGAGUAUAUCAAAGAAUCAUGCAGUCUAAAGGGACCCCAAGAGUCAUGUAUUCCAACCUCCUGGAGUGCAGGAAUCUUUUUCCCCCUCUCAGACAUCUUUGUUGGAAGUUAAAAAGUACAUGAUUAUAUUUGCACUAAGCAUGGUAGAUGUAAAUAAAAGAACGGAAAAGAAAAAGAGAAUCAGCACCCAUGUAGAAGGGAAAGUCAAGUGGGGGGACACCCCUCUCCUGAGUUUUGUGUUGCUUAUGAGGCCCAAAGGAACAUGGUGAGCAGAGCUAAUCUGUAGGUAGCCCUGAAUUUGAAAAUGGAGUGGAUUGGGAGGGCUAUUCACAUGCACCACCCUCCUGACACUCUUGUUGCUGCUGCUAAGAGUGAUGGGGGGCAGGGGAAAUAUGCCCAGAAGGGCUCUAUUGCCAUCCCACCAGGCCAGCCACAACACAAAAGGUAGUAGGGUUGGCCCAGAAGAAAAAUAACCCAAAAAGCCAUCUGGGAAUUAGGGGAUAAAGGUAAAGGGACCCCUGACCAUUAGGUCCAGUUGUGACCGACUCUGGGGUUGCAGCGUUCAUUUUGCUUUAUUGGCCGAGGGAGCCGGCGUACAGCUUCUGGGUCAUGUGGCCAGCAUGACUAAGCCGCUUCUGGUGAACCAGAGCAGUGCACGGAAACGCCGUUUACUUUCCCGCCGGAGCAGUACCUACUUAUCUACUUGCACUGUGACGUGCUUUUGAACUGCUAGGUUGGCAGGAGCUGGGACCGAGCAACGGGAGCUCACCCCGUCGUGGGGAUUUGAACCGCCGACCUUCUGAUCGGCAAGUCCUAGGCUCUGUGGUUUAACCCACAGCGCCACCCAUGUCCCACAAUUAGGGGAUAGUAAGAACAUUAUUAUGAAGGCCUACAUUACAAAGGCCUACACUAGGUGUUUCCUUAAUGUGGAUCUUGGAAUUGCUCUAGGAAAAGUCUGAACAUUUGCUCCUAGAGAAGUUUGACACAGAUGUACGAUGAAGGCGGGAGAAGGGGGAUCUUCUACAAAUGGUAGACCUGAAAAGAAUAUUGUUCUCUCUUGCUCUAUAUUGGCUAGGCUGACAGGAAGCUGUUUUCCAGGGUCUCAGACAGGAUUCCUCCUCAGCCCUUUCCCAUCCCAAGACAAAGAGCAAUGAUGGCAUAAGCUUUCCCACCUAUAUAGUAUUUCUCUUUAAGGAGUUAUAAUGAAAGCUGCAUCUUAUGAAUUCUCAUAUUUAUUUACUUCUUUUUUUCUCAUCAGCGAAAGUGGAAGAAAGUUGAAACUGAAAUACUAUGGAGAAUGCCAAAAAGCUUAAGAUGCACAUGACUAUGAAACAUCUACAAAAGAAGUCCCAUUUCUCUUUAAGCUUCACUCAUCGCAUCACCACAAAAAAAUCCAUUCUUCUCUUUGCUUAUCCUCUGUGAGCCAGUGAAUAUCUCGCAACAUCUUAAUUCGGUUUAUCAAUAAAUAAGCUCAGCAACAUUAUCAAA